AUUGAACGCUGGCGGCAGGCCUAACACAUGCAAGUCGAACGAGUGGCGGACGGGUGAGUAAUGUCUGGGGAUCUGCCUGAUAGAGGGGGAUAACUACUGGAAACGGUAGCUAAUACCGCAUACUAUCGGAUGAACCCAUAUGGGAUUAGCUAGUUGGUGGGGUAAUGGCUCACCAAGGCGACGAUCCCUAGCUGGUCUGAGAGGAUGACCAGCCACACUGGGACUGAGACACGGCCCAGACUCCUACGGGAGGCAGCAGUGGGGAAUAUUGCACAAUGGGCGCAAGCCUGAUGCAGCCAUGCCGCGUGUAUGAAGAAGGCCUUCGGGUUGUAAAGUACUUUCAGCGGGGAGGCGUUACCCGCAGAAGAAGCACCGGCUAACUCCGUGCCAGCAGCCGCGGUAAUAC
rnacentral:rRNA from 1 species